rnacentral:tRNA from 1 species
GGAGUUGUGGCUCAGAGGUAGAGUGAUCGCCUAGCAUGUGUGAGGCACUGGGUUCGAUCCUCAGCACCA